AUUGAACGCUGGCGGCAUGCCUUACACAUGCAAGUCGAACGGCAGCACGGGAGCAAUCCAGGUGGCGAGUGGCGAACGGGUGAGUAAAGUAUCGGAACGUGCCCAGUCGUGGGGGAUAACGUAGCGAAAGUUACGCUAAUACCGCAUACGAUCUAUGGAUGAAAGCGGGGGAUCGCAAGACCUCGCGCGAUUGGAGCGGCCGAUAUCAGAUUAGGUAGGUGGUGGGGUAAAGGCUCACCAAGCAGACGAUCUGUAGCUGGUCGGAGAGGACGACCAGCCAAACUGGGAGUGGGAGACGGCCCAGACUCCUACGGGAGGAAGCAGUGGGGAAUUGUGGACAAUGGGCGAAAGCGUGAUCCAGCCAUGCCGCGUGCAGGAUGAAGGCCUUCGGGUUGUAAACUGCUUUUGUACGGAACGAAAAGGUUUGGCCUAAUAAGCUGAGCUCAUGACGGUACCGUAAGAAGAAGCACCGGCUAACUACGUGCCAGCCGCCGCCGUAACAC
rnacentral:rRNA from 1 species